rnacentral:sRNA from 1 species
UCCGGCGAUGAAUCGCCGGACUAUUCUCGGUCGUCCCUACGGGACA